GGAGGGGUUCCCGAGCGGCCAAAGGGAGCAGACUGUAAAUCUGCCGUCUGACGACUUCGUAGGUUCGAAUCCUACCCCCUCCACCA
rnacentral:tRNA from 2 species